rnacentral:rRNA from 1 species
AGCGAACGCUGGCGGCAGGCCUAACACAUGCAAGUCGAACGGCUCUUCGGAGCAGUGGCGGACGGGUGAGUAACGCGUGGGAACGUGCCCUUUGGUUCGGAACAACACAGGGAAACUUGUGCUAAUACCGGAUGAGCCCUUCGGGGGAAAGAUUUAUCGCCAUUGGAGCGGCCCGCGUUGGAUUAGGUAGUUGGUGGGGUAACGGCCCACCAAGCCGACGAUCCAUAGCUGGUCUGAGAGGAUGAUCAGCCACACUGGGACUGAGACACGGCCCAGACUCCUACGGGAGGCAGCAGUGGGGAAUCUUGCGCAAUGGGCGAAAGCCUGACGCAGCCAUGCCGCGUGUAUGAUGAAGGUCUUAGGAUUGUAAAAUACUUUCACCGGGGAAGAUAAUGACGGUACCCGGAGAAGAAGCCCCGGCUAACUUCGUGCCAGCAGCCGCCGUAAAAC